GAUGAACGCUGGCGGCGUGCCUAAUACAUGCAAGUCGAGCGAACAGACGAGGAGCUUGCUCCUCUGACGUUAGCGGCGGACGGGUGAGUAACACGUGGAUAACCUACCUAUAAGACUGGGAUAACUUCGGGAAACCGGAGCUAAUACCGGAUAAUAUAUUGAACCGCAUGGUUCAAUAGUGAAAGACGGUUUUGCUGUCACUUAUAGAUGGAUCCGCGCCGCAUUAGCUAGAUGGUAAGGUAACGGCCUACCAAGGCAACGAUGCGUAGCCGACCUGAGAGGGUGAUCGGCCACACUGGAACUGAGACACGGUCCAGACUCCUACGGGAGGCAGCAGUAGGGAAUCUUCCGCAAUGGGCGAAAGCCUGACGGAGCAACGCCGCGUGAGUGAUGAAGGUCUUCGGAUCGUAAAACUCUGUUAUUAGGGAAGAACAAAUGUGUAAGUAACUAUGCACGUCUUGACGGUACCUAAUCAGAAAGCCACGGCUAACUACGUG
rnacentral:rRNA from 1 species